rnacentral:rRNA from 1 species
UACGGAGGGGCUAGCGUUGUUCGGAAUUACUGGGCGUAAAGCGCGCGUAGGCGGACCUGCAAGUCGGGGUGAAAGCCCGAGGCUCAACCUCGGAACUGCCUUCGAUACUGCGGGUCUCGAGUCCGGGAGAGGUGAGUGGAAUUCCUAGUGUAGAGUGAAUUCGUAGAUAUUAGGAAGAACACCAGUGGCGAAGGCGGCUCCACUG